rnacentral:rRNA from 1 species
UACGUAGGGGGCAAGCGUUGUCCGGAUUUAUUGGGCGUAAAGAGCGUGUAGGCGGCUUUACAGGUCCGUUGUGAAAACUCGAGGCUCAACCUCGAGACGCCGGUGGAAACCGUAAGGCUAGAGUCCGGAAGAGGAGAGUGGUAUUCCUGGUGUAGCGGUGAAAUGCGCAGAUAUCAGGAGGAACACCCGUGGCGAAAGCGGCUCUCUGGGACGGUACUGACGCUGAGACGCGAAAGCGUGGGGAGCAAACAGG